GCCCGGGUGGCUCAGUCGGUUGAGCAUCCAACUUCGGCUCAGGUCAUGAUCUCACGGUUCGUGGGUUCAAGCCCCGCGUCGGGCU
rnacentral:tRNA from 1 species